AGAAGAUCCCGUAAUAGGCCAGGGAGCAGUGACUGCGCAGCAGCUGCCGCUCGCCCCCGGGCUCCUGGAAGGACAGGCGCUGGAGACCCGCGCAGCCCCGGCUCCGUCGGAUCUUCUCCUUCAUCUUCUUUAUGGUCGCAAUUGCCCAUGAGGAUCAACUGAGACAAUUCCUGGAUAAGCACUAUACAAAUUGUAAAAUAUAAUAUGUGGAUUAAAUAGAUUAUGAUGAUCUUU